rnacentral:rRNA from 1 species
ACUCCUACGGGAGGCAGCAGUGGGGAAUAUUGCACAAUGGGGGGAAAACCCUGAUGCAGCCAUGCCGCGUGUGUGAAGAAGGCCUUGGGUUGUAAAGCACUUUCAGUAGGGAGGAAGGUAGUGUAGUUAACACCUGCUAUUAUUUGUACGUUACCUACAGAAGAAGCACCGGCUAACUCCGUGCCAGCAGCCGCGGUAAGUACGGAGGGUGCGAGCGUUAAUCGGAAUUACGUGGGCGUAAAGCGCAUGCAGGCGGUCCUGUUAAGUCAGAUGUGAAACGCCCGGGGUCUUAACCGUCGGAAUUGCUAUUUGAAACUGGCAGGCUAGAGUCUUGUAGAGGGGUUAGUAAUUUCGAGGUGUAGCGGUGAAAUGCGUAGAGAUC